AGCUGCUCAUAUGAUGUCAAGGGGCAGCCUUCGAUCUCCAGAUUCUGCUGCCUGGAGUGCCCUUUCCCAGUGAUGGCAAAGUCGAGGAAGACAUGGAGUCGUGACUACUUGGGUGUCUGCUCCUUCACACAAUGAUCAAAUUCCACGACUGACCAUGAGCGAAAGAGAUGCCAGCUUGGUGGAGACCUCUGAGAAGAGAGGCGCUAGCUCAGUUCCUUAAUACUUUGCAGACAGACGUAUGAGUGACAGGGAGUGUUCCGGCAUCUUGGGGAUCGCCUUUGCCUAGCUGUAGCAAAAGCUCUCAUCUCUGAAAACGGCUUGCUAGUAUUUGGAAUCAACAGGUUUUUUGCCACUUUUGACAUAGCUCCUCUGCGGCAGCAAGAAUAGCGCUCUGUUCUUCUGCGGGCACAAGGGUUCCAGCAUCCAGGCCCUCACCAAUGGUCCUUACCCUGUUUAUGGAUCUGGCUUCAAUCCAAGACAAACCUGACUUAUGUGAUGGUCUCCCAUUAUCAGCAGCGAAAGGUGCUUCUGAUGUAGGGACAUACGCAAUAUAGAAGUUUUCCAUAUUGUGAGGAUUCCAGUGUUAAUUCUGGAAUGCCAAGGAAAAUGGAAGCUGGAAAGAAAAGGAAGGUUCACAGUUCCCAGGAAUAAAUGCUCCAUCUUUAUCUUCUGUGAACCUUCUAGACUUCGCCAGGUGGAGAGAAAGGUAGGUAGGUUUUAUUGCAAUACCAACAAAGGUAAACUUAAACACUUUUAGAAAGACAAAGGUACCUUCCAAAGGAACUGGACUGUAAAGUUUACCUUUGUGAUCUCUUAAAACAAACAGCCCAAGGAUGCAGAAUUGAAAAGCCUCAGGUGACCGUCUGUUUGCACAAAGUAAAGUGUUUCCUCUGUAUGCUGAACAUUCAAAUCUUUCACAAUCAAUCACCUCUCCAAUUCCAUCAUCUCUCCUAUUAAAAUUUAUCAAGCAGUUAAAAAAAAAAA